rfam:Gossypium arboreum cultivar AKA8401 contig_31837_3, whole genome shotgun sequence.
CGUUACAAAAUUAAUCUAUUUGUACUAUUAAAAACCGAUGUAUUUAACAGAAUAACUAGACAGUGACAUGUGACAUGUGAUGUGUCAUGUGUAUUUCAUGUUGAUGUACAAGAAUCAAUUUUUAAUAACAUAAAUGAAUGAAAUUGUUAACC